UGACGCGUGGCCAAGCGGUAAGGCGCCUGACUCUGAAUCAGGUUAUCGUUGGUUCGAAUCCAGCCGCGUCAG
rnacentral:tRNA from 1 species